AAGCAAUAAUUAGAAACUAACAUUUAUAUUAACAAAAGCACUCAAAUACAGAAGUUGCUCUAUGCACAUCUUCAGUAGCUGAGCAUCACUGAUCACUAUCCAACAACAUGACUCCACAGUCAUCAGGUGACCAAUGAGGAAGCUAUAGAGAACACUUGGAUAAUAUAGCAUUUCUGAAACAUAAGCACUGAGCUACCAAAAAAAAUGUUGCAUGAGCAACAAGCCACUAAAACCCCUAAACCCUUCAAGAUAAGGAUGAGCAGCAACGCAGAGAAUCAAAAACAACUGCCUAGUUCAUCAACCAUCAUGAAGAGAAUGGACUAAAAUGU